rnacentral:rRNA from 1 species
GGACGAACGCUGGCGGCGUGCUUAACACAUGCAAGUCGAACGGAAAGGCCCUUCGGGGUACUUGAGUGGCGAACGGGUGAGUAACACGUGGGUGAUCUGCCCUGCACUUUGGGAUAAGCCUGGGAAACUGGGUCUAAUACCGAAUAGGACCACGCGCUUCAUGGUGUGUGGUGGAAAGCUUUUGCGGUGUGGGGUGGGCCCGCGGCCUAUCAGCUUGUUGGUGGGGUAAUGGCCUACCAAGGCGACGACGGGUAGCCGGCCUGAGAGGGUGACCGGCCACACUGGGACUGAGAUACGGCCCAGACUCCUACGGGAGGCAGCAGUGGGGAAUAUUGCACAAUGGGCGCAAGCCUGAUGCAGCGACGCCGCGUGAGGGAUGACGGCCUUCGGGUUGUAAACCUCUUUCAAUAGGGACGAAGCGCAAGUGACGGUACCUAUAGAAGAAGCACCGGCCAACUACGUGCCAGCAGCCGCGGUAAUACGUAGGGUGCGAGCGUUGUCCGGAAUUACUGGGCGUAAAGAGCUCGUAGGUGGUUUGUCGCGUUGUUCGUGAAAACUCACAGCUUAACUGUGGGCGUGCGGGCGAUACGGGCAGACUAGAGUACUGCAGGGGAGACUGGAAUUCCUGGUGUAGCGGUGGAAUGCGCAGAUAUCAGGAGGAACACCGGUGGCGAAGGCGGGUCUCUGGGCAGUAACUGACGCUGAGGAGCGAAAGCGUGGGGAGCGAACAGGAUUAGAUACCCUGGUAGUCCACGCCGUAAACGGUGGGUACUAGGUGUGGGUUCCUUCCUUGGGAUCCGUGCCGUAGCUAACGCAUUAAGUACCCCGCCUGGGGAGUACGGCCGCAAGGCUAAAACUCAAAGGAAUUGACGGGGGCCCGCACAAGCGGCGGAGCAUGUGGAUUAAUUCGAUGCAACGCGAAGAACCUUACCUGGGUUUGACAUGCACAGGACGCCGGCAGAGAUGUCGGUUCCCUUGUGGCCUGUGUGCAGGUGGUGCAUGGCUGUCGUCACCUCGUGUCGUGAGAUGUUGGGUUAAGUCCCGCAACGAGCGCAACCCUUGUCCUAUGUUGCCAGCGGGUUAUGCCGGGGACUCGUAGGAGACUGCCGGGGUCAACUCGGAGGAAGGUGGGGAUGACGUCAAGUCAUCAUGCCCCUUAUGUCCAGGGCUUCACACAUGCUACAAUGGCCGGUACAAAGGGCUGCGAUGCCGUGAGGUGGAGCGAAUCCUUUCAAAGCCGGUCUCAGUUCGGAUCGGGGUCUGCAACUCGACCCCGUGAAGUCGGAGUCGCUAGUAAUCGCAGAUCAGCAACGCUGCGGUGAAUACGUUCCCGGGCCU